AUCCAUCUGGAGAGUUCCAAAUAAGACGAAACGUACAUCCUGGAU
rnacentral:hammerhead_ribozyme from 1 species